GAAUUAAUGGAGACACAGGCGUAUGUACUUAACCAUCAAAUAAGAACCAGAGAGCAGAAGUACCAGUAUAUGCCUAGAAAGUUCUAAGAAUCAAAAUAGAAAAAGAGGAAGACGUGUCAUGGAGAAGAAUUUUUGAAAUUGGUAAGAAGACAUUGUAAUGAAGAAUGCCAGAUGUUAUUAUUAGCUUCCUUAUUAUAAAUUAGGUUCACUCUGUCCCCCAGAGAGCAAUUAAACAUGCUUUUCAGCUCCCGCUUUGUC
rnacentral:lncRNA from 11 species